AUGUUUGUGGCAGUAUCGUAGCCAAUGAGGUUUAUCCGAGGCGCGAUUAUUGCUAAUUGAAGUAUACAGGAAACACAGGAGACAAAUGAAAAUGAAAAUGAAACACAACAGUCUAAAUCUUGGGGAUGCAGCAAAAGCUG